AACAAUUAAUUUAAUUUUUUUUUAAUUUUUUUAUAAAUUGUAAAAUUAAUUUGUGUUUAAUUGUUAUGAUUUUUUAAGUGUUAUAAAACUAAGGAUGAGUUAUAUUAAAGAUAAUUUAUCAAAAAUAAGGAUUCUUGUUUGCAAGUGCAGAGGAUUCUUAGAUGUUAGUCAAGCUAUUUAAGAGAAGGUACAUUGGAUUAAAUUGAUUUUUUUUUUCAAAGAUAGAUGUCAUUAUAAUGGGGGAAUACAUGGGCAGAUCCUAAUAUUACAAGAUUCCUGUCCAAACUGCAAACCACCUCCAGAACAAAGAAAUCAGCCAAAUAGAACUGGAUCCUUAAAACUCAUAUUACCCGAUUGAAGGACCCGACCAAAAACAAAGAAACACUUCAAGAAUGUCAUUGGACUAGGAACCCCCGUGGCUUGGGGAAGAAAUCAUUCCUUGAAGCUUUGGAAAUCCUCCUUGCAAAUAUACCUAUUGACUAAACCCAACAGAACUUCUAAAAGGGGUAAACAAAUCCAACACAAUCGAAAAAGAAACACAAGCAAAGUUGAAAGAGAGCUCAACCAUGGAGGUCGGAGAAGCAGCAACCACAAGCUUCAAAUCAACCAGAAGAGCAUAAUAGCCAGAGAUCUAUGGCGACCAAAAGCCUUAAGGGUUACCAUUUGCAGCAUGCAAGCAUGAUGCUUGAUCCCAAGAGUUAAACUAUCAAUAAAAUAUAACUCUUUCAUAAUUUACCCAUAUAGAAAAUAGGAUUCCCGAUCUCCCACACAACGAAACUCAGCCUGCAAAAAACAAUAAAAAUAAUAUAAAAGCAUAUAUACAAUCUCAAUGUAAGGAGUCAUUCCUGUCUAGAAAAAGCUCUUACAGCUGCAAAAUUCGGCAGGAAAGGAGGACUGGCCGGCCUUAGAAAAGAAGAAAACUUAGAAAGGUUUCUCUCUUUAUAAUUUGAGAGGUCAAAUUGUAUUUGGAUGUGGCAAUUCGGGGAACAUGAACAACUUUGCUUCUUGUGGUGGCUUAAUUAUAGACAAUAACAACUGGGUGUUGUAAUUUUGUGAAGCGAUUAAGG
rnacentral:lncRNA from 1 species